UACGGAAGGUGCAAGCGUUAGUCGGAGUUAUUGGGCGUAAAGGGUGCGUAGGCGGCACGUUAAGUUGGAUAUGAAAUUCUGUGGGCUCAACCCCAGAGCUAUAUCCAAAACUGGCGUGCUUGAGGGAUGGCGGAGAAAAUGGAAUUCCAUGUGUAGCGGUGAAAUGCGUAGAUAUAUGGAAGAACACCUGUGGCGAAAGCGGUUUUCUAGCCUAGUCCUGACGCUAAAGCACGAAAGCAAGGGGAGCAAACAGG
rnacentral:rRNA from 1 species